rnacentral:rRNA from 1 species
UACGUAGGGCGCAAGCGUUGUCCGGAAUUAUUGGGCGUAAAGAGCGUGUAGGCGGCCAGGUAGGUCAGGUGUGAAAACUCGAGGCUCAACCUCGAGACGUCGGUUGAAACCACCUGGCUAGAGUCCGGAAGAGGAGAGUGGAAUUCCUGGUGUAGCGGUGAAAUGCGCAGAUAUCAGGAAGAACACCCGUGGCGAAGGCGGCUCUCUGGGACGGUACUGACGCUGAGACGCGAAAGCGUGGGGAGCGAACAGG